rnacentral:rRNA from 1 species
AUGGGAGGCAGCAGUGGGGAAUAUUGGGCAAUGGGCGAAAGCCUGACCUAGCAACGCCGCGUGAAGGAAGAAGGUCUUCGGAUUGUAAACUUCUUUUAUCAGGGACGAAGGAAGUGACGGUACCUGAUGAAUAAGCCACGGCUAACUACGUGCCAGCAGCCGCGGUAAUACGUAGGUGGCAAGCGUUAUCCGGAUUUACUGGGUGUAAAGGGCGCGUAGGCGGGGAUGCAAGUCAGAUGUGAAGUCCAUGGGCUUAACCCAUGAACUGCAUUUGAAACUGUAUCUCUUGAGUGUCGGAGAGGUAGAUGGAAUUCCUAGUGUAGCGGUGAAAUGCGUAGAUAUUAGGAGGAACACCAGUGGCGAAGGCGAUCUACUGGACGAUAACUGACGCUGAGGCGCGAAAGCGUGGGGAGCAAACAGGAUUAGAUACCCUGGUA